AGUGAACGCUGGCGGUAGGCCUAACACAUGCAAGUCGAACGGCAGCACAGGAGAGCUUGCUCUCUGGGUGGCGAGUGGCGGACGGGUGAGGAAUACAUCGGAAUCUACUCUGUCGUGGGGGAUAACGUAGGGAAACUUACGCUAAUACCGCAUACGACCUACGGGUGAAAGCAGGGGAUCUUCGGACCUUGCGCGAUUGAAUGAGCCGAUGUCGGAUUAGCUAGUUGGCGGGGUAAAGGCCCACCAAGGCGACGAUCCGUAGCUGGUCUGAGAGGAUGAUCAGCCACACUGGAACUGAGACACGGUCAAGACUCCUACGGGGGGCAGCAGUGGGGAAUAUUGGACAAUGGGCGCAAGCCUGAUCCAGCCAUACCGCGUGGGUGAAGAAGGCCUUCGGGUUGUAAAGCCCUUUUGUUGGGAAAGAAAUCCAGCUGGCUAAUACCCGGUUGGGAUGACGGUACCCAAAGAAUAAGCACCGGCUAACUUCGUGCCAGCAGCCGCUGUAA
rnacentral:rRNA from 1 species